UGCGUGUUCGACGGGCUAUACCUAGCGAGCAGGCUUUUGAGUAACGUAGUCUGCUGACGGGUCCGAGGAUUGGUACUUGCAGCCAGGUCUCUGGUUAUGAAACGCCAUCUCCAUCCUCUUUCAUUCCAGCAUUGUGAGACAGUGGCUUCCUGAUUUGCGAUUCUGCAAAAUAUUCCAGGAAAUCUGGUACUAAAAGGGGUUUCUUCAAUCCAAAUGUCUGACCACCACCU
rnacentral:lncRNA from 1 species